UCCCGCUUAAAGGCGGCUGUUUGACUUGAUUUGUAGAAGAAUAUCAUCUGAAGCAUUGCUGUCCUGGAAAUUCUGAGCUGUCCUUUUGGAAAUAGUCCUGGAUUCUUAAGUUACUGCCAGAUGAGAGGCACACAUAGCUUGCUUGUUAAAUCAUCGCCUCCAGGUCUUGGUUCAAACAUGCCGCUUCAAGACAAACUGAAGAAGAGGGCAGUAUCAGGGUGAUACCCCUGCAGUGAUCUCAGGUCAGAGGCCCUGAAAAAGGGAUCAGGGUCCGUGUGUCUGCCAUCUCCCCCGCCCCGCUAACCCCGCAGCGUGGAGGAGCCGCUUGCAGUCGUGCCAGCUGACAUCACCAGCGUAACAGCAUCUGAUCUCAGCCGCUCUGUGGCGGCGCUGCACAAGUUCACGUUAAAAGACCCCGCUGGAGAUGUGUGAACGUCAGCACCGGGAAGCGAGAUUUACUGGGCUGUGUUGCUUUCUGGAUUCAACUUUUGGGGCGAUUAACAAAGUACACAGAAAGAAGAAUCUUCCAACUGCUUAUCCUGCGUAAGGCUGUGAGAGGCUGGGACCUAGCCCACACAGCACAGGGUACUGACAGCGGUACACCCAGAACCCAGCGGGGCCCAGCUCGUACAAGGGGGCCCAGACAUAGCCAUGAUUGAUUGAUCAAUGGACUGAUAAACAAAAAAACAAACAAAUAAAUGUGUAUAUAUAAGGAUAUAUAUAUAUAACAUUAAUUGGGGCAGUGGUGGCUUAAUGGUUAAGGAAGUACACUUGUAAUUGAAAAAUUGCUGGUUUGAAUCCCCAACCAGCAAGGUACCACCCCUGAGCACUGCUCCCCAGGUGCUGAGUUAGCUGCCCCUGCAAUGCCACAUAAGGCUUAAAUGCAGGGGACACAUUUUGUUGAUGUACACAGUGUGCUGUGGUGUUUCGUCAGUGAGCACUGAUCGUCUAAUUCUAAUUUAUAAAUAG